rnacentral:rRNA from 1 species
CGUAGGGGGCGAGCGUUGUCCGGAAUCAUUGGGCGUAAAGCGCGUGUAGGCGGCCCGAUAAGUCUGAUGUGAAAUCUUGAGGCUCAACCUCAAGCGGUCAUUGGAUACUGUCGGGCUAGAGUACGGAAGAGGAGAGUGGAAUUCCUGGUGUAGCGGUGGAAUGCGCAAAUAUCAGGAGGAACACCUAUGGCGAAGGCAGCUCUCUGGUACGAGACUGACGCUGAGACGCGAAAGCAUGGGGAGCGAACAGGAUUAGAUACCCUGGUAGUCCAUGCCGUAAACGAUGGGCGCUAGGUGUGGGCGGUGUCGACUCCGUCCGUGCCGAAGCUAACGCAUUAAGCGCCCCGCCUGGGGAGUACGGCCGCAAGGCUA